rnacentral:rRNA from 1 species
CCUACGGGAGGCAGCAGUGAGGAAUAUUGGGCAAUGGGCGGAAGCCUGAACCAGCCAAGUAGCGUGCGGGAUGAAGGCCCUACGGGUCGUAAGCCGCUUUUGCACGGGGAUAACACCCUCCGCUUGUGGAGGUCUGCAGGUACCGUGCGAAUAAGCGCCGGCUAAUGCCGUGCCAGCAGCCGCGGUAAUACGGAAGGCCCGAGCGUUGUCCGGAUUCCUUGGGCGUAAGGGGGUGGUAGGCGGGCGUUCAAGUCAGCUGUAAAAUCGCGCGGCUCAACCGCGCCCCGCAGUUGAAACUGGACGCCUUGAGUUCACAACAGGCAGGCGGAAUUCGUGGUGUAGCGGUGAAAUGCAUAGAUAUCACGAGGAACCCCGAUUGCGAAGGCAGCCUGCCGGGGUGCGACUGACGCUGAGGCUCGAAGGUGCGGGUAUCAAACAGGAUUAGAUACCCCUGUAGUC